rnacentral:lncRNA from 1 species
GUCAGGGGUAAUCUUGUAAUUUGGUGAAGCCUUGGGUUUAAAGUCGGCUGGAACCAAGUCGCGCGUUCCGCGUAUGAAAUCUCUUUUAAGCUCCUAAAUGCUCCAUAAUCAUCACUUUACUCCAAGAUACUUCUGAACCUGAAAACAUACCUAAUAGGAUACAAUAUAUAGUAUAUAGAUGGUUUAAUACUUAUAUACCAUGGAUGGAAAUGGGUCAAAUCUAUGGUAUAUCAACUCCCUCAGACUUACCCUUUUGCUUGUCCUCAAGCAAAACAAACAGGCAGUCUCUCUGAAAGAGGUUUGAAAACAGCAGGGACUUACAUAUUUAAAACAUAGAAAUCAUCACCUCUACAAUUUCGCAAACCACAUCUAAAAAGUCCUAAUCACAAAAGCACAUUAUGCAAUAUCCUAGCUUAGCAACCAAUUUCAUCUAGUCUACAACUCAGCAAAUCAUGUUUGACAUUCCCCUCUACCAACCUCAAUUCUUAGCAUAAAUAUAAAAGUGCAUGCUUUACCUUGGGAGUAUUGAUCACAGGAUGCAAAGGAUUUUCAGACAAGUAUGGCCCUGUUCGUUUGGAGGUCGCUAGCGUCAGCGACCAACUUCAGCGACUAAACGUUGUUCGUGAGAGAGAUUGUGAGAGAUGGUGAAGGGCGAGAGAGAGAGAGAGCUGAGGCGUGAGAGAUGCUGAAGUGUGAGAGAAGAGAGGCUUGAGAGAUGGCGAAGAGAGAGAGAGAGAGAGAGAGAGUCAGAGAGAGAGAGAGAGAGAGCUGAGGUGUGAGAAAGUUUUAGGUUAAGGGUAUUGUUUUGUAAUUUUGAAGAUAGAUUGAGGAUGUUUUCGUAUUUUGAAUUUUUUUUUAUCGCAAGUUUUUGGUCGCAAACGCUGAAUUUUUCGGCGAUUAAAAGUUUUAAUCGCGGGUCGCUAGCGUCUGGUCGCUGCGAUCAGUCGCUGAGCCCGCGACCGGUCAAAUCUAUGGUAUAUCAACUCCCUCAGACUUACCCUUUUGCUUGUCCUCAAGCAAAACAAACAGGCAGUCUCUCUGAAAGAGGUUUGAAAACAGCAGGGACUUACAGAUUUAAAAGAUAGAAAUCAUCACCUCUACAAUUUCGCAAACCACAUCUAAAAAGUCCUAAUCACAAAAGCACAUUAUGCAAUAUCCUAGCUUAGCAACCAAUUUCAACUAGUCUACAAGCAACCAAUUUCAACUAGUCUACAACUCAGCAAAUCAUGUUUGACAUUCCCCUAUACCAACCUCAUUUCUUAGCAUAAAUAUAAAAGUGCAUGCUUUACCUUGGGAGUAUUGAUCACAUGAUGCAAAGGAUUUUCAGACAAGUAUGGCCCUAUUCGUUUGGAGGUCGCUAGCGUCAGCGACCAACUUCAGCGACUAAACAUUGUUCGUUAAC